rnacentral:rRNA from 1 species
AGUGAACGCUGGCGGCAUGCCUAACACAUGCAAGUCGAACGGCAGCACAGUAAGCUUUUGCUCUUAUGGGUGGUGAGUGGCGGGCGGGUGAGGUAUACAUCGGUACCUACUUUUUCGUGGGGAAUAACGUAGGGAAACUUACGUUAAUACUGCAUACUACCUACGGGUGAAAGCAGGGGACCUUCGGACUUUGCGUGAUUGAAUGAGCCGCUGUCGGAUUAGCUAGUUGGCGGGGUAAAGGCCUACCAAGGCGACGAUCCGUAGCUGGUCUGAGAGGACGAUCAGCCACACUGGAACUGAGACACGGUCCAGACUCCUACGGGAGGCAGCAGUGGGGAAUAUUGGACAAUGGGCGCAAGCCUGAUCCAGCAAUACCGCGUGGGUGAAGAAGGCCUUCGGGUUGUAAAGCCCUUUUGUUGGGAAAGAAAAGCAGCAGGUUAAUACCCCGCUGUUCUGACGGUACCGUAAGAAUAAGCACCGGCUAACUUCGUG